UAGGUUAACGAGGCGAACCGGGGGAACUGAAACAUCUAAGUACCCCGAGGAAAAGAAAUCAACCGAGAUUCCCCCAGUAGCGGCGAGCGAACGGGGAGCAGCCCAGAGUCUGAAUCAGCUUGUGUGUUAGUGGAACGGUCUGGAAAGUCCGACGGUACAGGGUGAUAGUCCCGUACACCAAAAUGCACAGGCUGUGAACUCGAAGAGUAGGGCGGGACACGUGGUAUCCUGUCUGAAUAUGGGGGGACCAUCCUCCAAGGCUAAAUACUCCUGACUGACCGAUAGUGAACCAGUACCGUGAGGGAAAGGCGAAAAGAACCCCGGCGAGGGGAGUGAAAAAGAACCUGAAACCGUGUACGUACAAGCAGUGGGAGCACCUUCGGGUGUGACUGCGUACCUUUUGUAUAAUGGGUCAGCGACUUAUAUUCUGUAGCAAGGUUAACCGUAUAGGGGAGCCGCAGGGAAACCGAGUCUUAACUGGGCGUUAAGUUGCAGGGUAUAGACCCGAAACCCGGUGAUCUAGCCAUGGGCAGGUUGAAGGUUGGGUAACACUAACUGGAGGACCGAACCGACUAAUGUUGAAAAAUUAGCGGAUGACUUGUGGCUGGGGGUGAAAGGCCAAUCAAACCGGGAGAUAGCUGGUUCUCCCCGAAAGCUAUUUAGGUAGCGCCUCGUGAACUCAUCUUCGGGGGUAGAGCACUGUUUCGGCUAGGGGGUCAUCCCGACUUACCAACCCGAUGCAAACUACGAAUACCGAAGAAUGUUAUCACGGGAGACACACGGCGGGUGCUAACGUCCGUCGUGAAGAGGGAAACAACCCAGACCGCCAGCUAAGGUCCCAAAGUCAUGGUUAAGUGGGAAACGAUGUGGGAAGGCACAGACAGCCAGGAUGUUGGCUUAGAAGCAGCCAUCAUUUAAAGAAAGCGUAAUAGCUCACUGGUCGAGUCGGCCUGCGCGGAAGAUGUAACGGGGCUAAACCAUGCACCGAAGCUGCGGCAGCGACACUAUGUGUUGUUGGGUAGGGGAGCG
rnacentral:rRNA from 3 species